GAGGGGGGAGGUGGGAGGGGCGGCCCCAGGAGAGAGAGAGAGAGAGGACGGCGAAAGCGGAGGUUUGUUCGCUGAACAAAACAAGUAGGCGGCGAAAAAAGGCGUGGGCUGGUCCUGGCUUUUGUGCGCAGGGGUAAGUUUAUCUUUCCAGAUAGUGGCAAACAACAACUCUAAAGUGUUUGGCUCAGAAAGGGACAAGAUUACAGGUCUGUCAACAAACAGUAAGUAUAUAGGUUGUUCCUAGAUAAGCUAGAAAAGUUUUUGCGUGUGAUAUUUACAGGGGGAAUUUUAAAAACUUUAGAUUUAAUAAUAAUAGUAGUAAUAACUUUAUUUUUAUAUCCCACGACCAUCUCCCAAAGGGACUCAGGGCAACAUGUAAGGGAGGCCAAGCCCAGCACAGCAAAGUUUAUGGACUAAAGACACAUUUAAAAACAUGGUAAAUAGCAAUCUGAUUAAAACAAUUAAAACAGCAGAAUAUAAAAAAUUACAGUUAAAAUGAAUCAAACAAACCUCAAUAACAAGAACGAGUGAUAAGGCGGGCAAAAUCAGAAAUUAAGAGAGGGCUGGGCAUGGGCUUAUGCAAGCAGAUUAUAGGGCCAGGGCUGGGGUAAAGUGCUGAGUUUACUGUAAUGGUCAGUUUGGACUGGCCAUUCAUAGACAGAGGCCUAAUCAUUAUCAAGCGCACACUGGAACCAGGUUUUGAGACCCUGCGGAAGGUGGACAGAGUGGGUGCCAGAUUUGUGAUAAGGUUUAUGGAAAUCACGUUAAGGGGGAAUAAUGAAGCCUAAACAUUUUUGAGCACAUAUCAAAACUAUGUGGUAAUGCUUGUAUUUUGUGUCACAUUACAACAGUUUCAAGACUGUUGUCCUGAGGGCUUUGGAGAUUCUAAACACUUCAGUAAGGAUGGCUUUAGCUUUAAGCAGCUGCUAUCAGUAAAUAAUACAUUGAUUCACUGUAGUCUAUAAGGAAACUUUCCGAAACAUAUUUUUAGUACUCGUGAUUGGAAUUUAAGUGUUUCUGGUUUUAAAAGAUAUUUGUCAUUUCUUUCUAGUUUAAUUGAUAUUCACAUAUAAUUACAUUUCAGUACUUUUGGUGUCUUGCUAGGUCAGUCAGUAGAUUGAGAACAGGCAGGAAGAAGUGUAAUAUUUUCUGUAAAUUUAAAUAUGAUUUCAAAUGUAUUUGGAGAACCGGUUACAGUACAAAUUAAUGAGAACUUGUUUUCUUUUAUCAGGUGAAACAGUGAUAAGCUACGAAGAUUUAAUUCAUGUCAGAGUAAUGUCAAAGUGCUUACAGUGCAGGUAGUGAUAAGUAGAACCUACUGCAGUGAAGGCACUUGUAGCAUUAUGCUGGCAACUGCCUCAAAAGGUUUGGAAAAUUACUCUACUGCCUCUCCUGCAUAGUGACUGCUUUUUGUUCUAAGGUGCAUCUAGUGCAGAUAGUGAAGUAGAUUAGCAUCUACUGCCCUAAGUGCUCCUUCUGGCAUAAGAAGUUGUGUUUUCACCCAAUCGCUUACACUGAGCCUAAAACCUAAUGUUUUGCAGUCCUCUGUUAGUUUUGCAUAGUUGCACUACAAGAAGAAUGUAGUUGUGCAAAUCUAUGCAAAACUGAUUGUGGCCUGUUAUUGUCUGCAUUUCAAGCUUUUAAUGAUUUUGCUUUUAGGUUGACCUAUGUCUGUGUCCAGAAUGCUUGUCGGAACAGCUCCUGUAGCACUAAAGUGCUUAUAGUGCAGGUAGUGAUUAAUAAUCUACUGCAUUACGAGCACUUAAAGUACUGCUAGCUGUAGAGCAUCAGUUUUGUCCUGUCUUUUGUGUAUCCCUUUCUUUUCAUGUCAGUUGAGCACUGUUCUCUGGUUAGUUUUGCAGGUUUGCAUCCAGCUGUAUAAUGUGUUGCUGUGCAAAUCCAUGCAAAACUGACUGUGGCAGUGAAAUUCAAUGAAAAUUUGAUAAAUUGUACCCCUUUCUACACAGGUUGGGAUUGGUUGCAAUGCUGUCUAUGUGUAUGUGGUAUUGCACUUGUCCCGGCCUGUUGAGGUUGGUGGGUCUAGAACCUGGAAGAACAUGCCGAGUUUCCUUCCCAACCGAUCUGGAACUACAUGAAACUGCAGUGGAAUGGUGUUAACCUAGAGUUUAUCAAUAGCAAUUUUAAUUUCAUAAAGCAGGGUGCAUUUGGUAUUUUGUAUACUCUAGUGUUUCUGACUUGCCAGUGAAUAUUUUAUGCUGCUGUUCUUCCCAAAUGAGUACUUUUUGUCAUAUAAAGCAACUUGUCUAACCUAAAGUUUUAAAUAAACAAGUAUUGUGAAUUGA